GUAGCUGGUGGACAACUGGAAAAAUGGCCUAAAAGAUUACACGCAAUACCACCUAGGAUCAGCAGGGGAACUGUAAACGGGGUCACGGCUGACACUUUCAAGAAGGAUUCACAACUAUGGAAAAGAAGAAUGUCUUACUACAAGACGGUGAAUAAUCAAUUAGGCCAACCAGGGAGAUACAGAAAUCUACUAGAUAUAAAUGCCAACCUUGGUGGUUUUGCUGCCAAUUUGGUCGAUGACCCUGUUUGGGUGAUGAAUAUAGUUCCUGUUGAAGCUAAGGUCAAUACACUUGGUGUUAUUUAUGAACGCGGAAAAUGCCAACCUUGGUGGUUUUGCUGCCAGUUUGGUUGAUGACCCUGUUUGGGUGAUGAAUAUUGUUCCUGUUGAAGCUAAAGUCAAUACACUUGGUGUUAUUUAUGAACGCGGAUUAAUUGGAACAUAUCAAAGCUGGUAAUUUCACUACACAAACUUCUUUAUGCCUCAAUCCCAAGUUAGUGGGGUUCACUGAUCAGAUCGCUCCAUUUCACGAUGAUUUAUUCAAUUUUACAUUACCUUUUCUUGUUACAUUUACGCAUUAGUAUAUCUUUGAUUUAAAGUGAGC
rnacentral:lncRNA from 1 species